ACGGGUGAGUAACGCGUGAGCAACCUGCCCAUAAGAGGGGGACGAACAGUUGGAAACGACUGCUAAUACCGCAUAAGCCCACGGCUCGGCAUCGAGCAGAGGGAAAAGGAGUGAUCCGCUUUGAGAUGGCCUCGCGUCCGAUUAGCUGGUUGGUGAGGUAACGGCCCACCAAGGCGACGAUCGGUAGCCGGACUGAGAGGUUGAACGGCCACAUUGGGACUGAGACACGGCCCAGACUCCUACGGGAGGCAGCAUG
rnacentral:rRNA from 1 species